rnacentral:tRNA from 1 species
CAGUAAAUAGUUUAAAUAAAAUAUUAGUUUUGGAGACUAAAGUUGUGGGAUCUAUUUUACUGA